rnacentral:RNase_P_RNA from 1 species
GAAGCAAGCCAGACCGCCGCUGGGGCAAGCUCGGAAACGAGGCCCUGGAGGAAGGUCCGGACUGCAUAGAGCGGCGUAGCAGCUAACGGCUGCCCGGCGAAAGCCGAGGAUCAGAGCAACAGAGACGAGUCAAGGUGGGCCCCCGUCGGGAGGUGGUCUAUGCGGCGCCGGCGCAAGCCGGUGUGGGGUGAGGCGAAAGCCUCGCACCAUCGCGCGCAAGCGCGAACCGCGUAGCACCCAAGGCGGGCCAGGGCCCGCCUUGGGUGAAACGGGCAAUCUCUACGCGCAGCAACACCAAGUAGGCCAGCGUUGAUGCGGCUCGCAGAGCUGGCGGGUAGGUGGCACCGAGCCGGGCAGCGAUGCCCGGCCCAGAGGAAUGGCGGUCACGUCAUGCAUUCCGUUAGGGAUGGGUGGCGCACAGAAUCCGGCCUAUCGGCUUGCUUCACAC